rnacentral:rRNA from 1 species
GAUGAACGCUGGCGGCGUGCCUAAUACAUGCAAGUCGAGCGAACGGACGAUUAUCUUUCUUCUCUGAUGUUUUCGGCUGUCGUGUGUGUAACACGUGGAUAACCUCCCUAUUUUUCUUGUAUCACUUCGUGAAACCUUUUCUAAUACCGUCUAAUUUUUUGUACCGCUUGGUUCACUAGUGUUUUACGGUCUUUCUGUCUCUUAUAGAUUGAUCCGCGCUUCAUUAGCUAGUUGGUAAGGUAACGGCUUACCAAGGCAACGAUGCAUAGCCGACCUGACAGGGGGAUCGGCCACACUGGAACUGAGACACGGACCAGACUCCUACGGGAGGAAGCAGUAGGGAAUAUUCGGCAAUGGGCGAAAGCAUGACGGAGCAAAGCCGCGUGAGUGAAGAAGGACUUCGGAUCGUAAAACUCUGUUAUUAGGGAAGAAAAUAUGGGUAAGAAAAUGUGCACAGAGUGACGGUAACUAAAAAGAAAGCAACGGCUAACUACGUG